CAAUGAUAAGAUUGAAGGAUUCUUGAAGCUUUCUCUUAAUGGGUCUCUGCGGAUGUAAUUAAGAAUCUUGAGAUCAUCCUGGAUUAUUUGGGUGGGUCCUAAAUCCAAUGACAAGCAUCCUUAGAAGAGCCAUCCCGGGGAGAGACACAUGGAGGAGAAGGCCACCUGCAGGCAGAGGCAGAGACUGAGGUAUGCAGUCACAAGCCAAGGAGCGUCUGGAGCCAGCAAGAGGUGGAGAUGCAAGCAAGGAUUCUUCUGAGAGCCUUCAGAGGAAGCACAGCCCCGCCAACACCUUGAUUUUGGAUUUCUAGCCUCCAGAACUGUGAGAGAAUAAAUUUUUGUUAUUAUUAAGCCACCCAGCUUGUGGUCAUUUGUUAUGGCAGCCCUGAGAAACUAAUAUAGUGUCUAAGAAUAAAUCAU
rnacentral:lncRNA from 10 species